rnacentral:tmRNA from 1 species
CGAGGAAGCGGCAAUGAUCUCGUAAACCAUAUGUCGCAAACAAUAAUCGCCAAUUCCAAGCGCGAUUCCUCCGCCUUCGCCCUCGCUGCCUAAUUAGCAGCUAAGCGAAGACUCUGCGGAGUGUCAGCCCGGGGGUGAUCCCGACCCGGCUCCUGGCAUCAACUAGGGAUCUAAACUUCUAAGCCCGGUCACGGGGCCUAGAAGGAAAUCAAACAGUGGCUGGGCCUGUCGGAGGCUUGUUCGCGUGACCUCCGGGGCCGAGAAAAGCGUAGCGAACUGCACUCGGAGAAG